GUGGAUUACAGUACAUAUACUAAAAUUGGAAUGAUAUACUGAAAUUGGAAGAUUAGCAUGGCCCCUGCACAAGGAUGACAUGCAAAUUCAUGACGUGUUCCAUAUUUUU
ensembl:snRNA U6 U6 spliceosomal RNA